rnacentral:rRNA from 1 species
AUUGAACGCUGGCGGCGUGCUUAACACAUGCAAGUCGAUCGGUAACGCGGGGGCAACCCUGGCGACGAGAGGCGGACGGGUGAGGAACGCUUGGGAAUCUGCCUAUCAGCGGGGGACAACACGGGGAAACUCGUGCUAAUACCGCAUACGCUCUACGGAGGAAAGCCGGGGACCGCAAGGCCUGGCACUGAUAGAUGAGCCCAAGUCGGAUUAGCUCGUUGGGGGGGUACCGGCCCACCAAGGCGACGAUACGCAGCUGGUCUGAGAGGACGAUCAGCCACACUGUGCCUGAGACACGGCCCAGACUCCUACGGGAGGCAGCAUUGGGGAAUAUUGGACAAAGGGGGAAACCCUGAUCCAGCGACGCCGCGUGGGUGAAGAGGGCCUGCGGGUUGUAAAGCCCUUUCGGUAGGGACGAAAGCUCUCGACCUAACACGUCGGGAGGUUGACUUAACCUACAAAAGAAGCACCGGCUAACUCUGUGCCAGCCGCCGCGGUAAGAC